UAUUUGCAUGUACAAUGUACCCACUUUUUUAGGACAUUUAGUAUUUGGGGGAAAUAUCAACUCCCAUUUCUUUUUGCUGAAAUUUAAUGUUCCCAUGGUGAGUGUACUCCUAUUUUUGCCGACAUUUAGUAUUUCCUGGUACAAUGUACUUAGACCUUCCAUGGUACAAAUACUCAAGUCUAGAGGCUAAUAACACUUAAAACAUCCCGGUCUUCUGAUUUCUAUUGGUAUGACUAAACCUUGCCAAAAUAUACAGUACACUAUCAAGAAAGGCAAAUUCAGUAACUAUAGCCACAAACUUCAGAUCAGUCACUGCAACCGAACGUAUCCCUUGCCCACUUCUUACGGUGGAGACCGAACUGAACUACUUAUUUCCAUAGAAGAGUAUACCUAUGUUCUUAAGAUGGAACAUCAAUGCCUUAUUAAUAUUCUAUUCUAGCAAUGUGUUGCGGACCCAUACAAAAACUAACAAUAUUGUAUUCUUGCAAUGUGAUUGAACAUGAAGAAGGAACUGCAAUGGCCACUAGUCAGUGGUUGAAAGCACAUCCGGCAACAAAAACAAUUGUCCUUCAAGGCCAUACAGAAUGUAUCGACCAUGUUACUUUUUCCAAAUUAUUGUACCUAAUACACCUAGUAAAUCCUAAUAGCAACUCCAAAUGAUCGUACCCAUGCCAUGGAGCCUUUGGCUAAAAUGAAUUGAAAAAAAGAAGAGAAAAUAAGACAUUCAUCGAUAUUCCUUGCUCCAUUUAGCUGCCAAGUGGCAACUGGAACUAGUACCAAAAAGGCAGAAGGAAAUUUAACAGGAAGCAUCGAGUAAAGAAACAAUAUUUUGUGUGUAAGCCAAAUGACACAAAUAUAACCAUCGGUGGAUCACACUCAACAAAUGGUUUCGUAGUGUAGUGGUUAGCACUCCAGACUUUGAAUCUGGCGACCUGGGUUCGAAUCCCGGCGAGACCUACUUUUUUAGCUGGCAUUUUAGUAUUUGCAUGUAUAAUGUACUCACUUUUUUUAGGACAUUUAGUAUUGGAGAAAAAUAUCAACUCCCAUUUUUUUGCUGAAAUUUAAUGUUUCCAUGGUGAGUGUACCUUUUUGCCGACAUUUAGUAUUUCCUGGUACAAUGUACUUAGACCUUCCAUGGUACAAAUACUCAAGUCUAGAGGCUAAUAACACUUAAAACAUCCCUGUCAUCUGAUUUCGAUUGGUAUGACUAAACCUUGCCAAAAUAUACAAUACACUAUCAAGAAAGGCAAAUUCAGUACCUAUAGCCACAAACUUCAGAUUAGUCACUGCAACCGAACGUAUCCCUUGCCCACUUCUUACGGUGGAGACCGAACUGAACUAUUUAUUUCCAUAGAAGUGUAUACCUAUGUUCUUAAGAUGGAACAUCAAUGCCUUAUUAAUAUUAUAUUCUAGCAAUGUGUUGCGGACCCAUACAAAAACUAACCAUAUUGUAUUGUAGCAAUGUGAUUGAACAUGAAGAAGGAACUGCAAUGGCCACUAGUCAGUGGUUGAAAGCACAUCCAGCAACCAAAACAAUUGUCCUUCAAGGCCAUACAGAAUGUAUCGAUCAUAUUACUUUUUCCAAAUUAUUGUACCUAAUACACCUAGUAAAUCCUAAUAGCAACUGCAAAUGAUCAUACCCAUGCCAUGGAGCCUUUGGCUAAAAUGAAUUGAAAAGAAAAUUGAAAUAAGACAUUCAUCGGAUAUUCCUUUGCUCCAUUUAGCUGCCAAGUGGCAACCGGAAGCAAACCAAAAAGAAGAAGAGAAUUAAACAGGAAGCGUCGAGUAAAGAAACAAUAUUUUGUCUGUAUAAGCCAAAUGACAAAAAUAUAACCAUCAGUGAGUCACACUCAACAAAUGGUUUCGUAGUGUAGUGG
rnacentral:lncRNA from 1 species